GCCAGUCACAGCCUACGUCCACUAGCCUUCUCCCUGCUGGAGCCUGGGUCAGGCUCCUCUGCUGGCUCCUUCCACGCCCCCUCGUACCCCAAUCACACGGAAGUGACAUGCCGGUAUCCCGUCCCCCAUGAGUCUCCAGGAAUGGACGCUCAGGGAGUCCCACAGACUCACGUGAGAGAUAAGGUGCGAAGGGCAUCCAGAAAGGGGAAGGCAGUGAACAACACCACGGAGCUGGCAAACAGCAUGGCUCAUUCCAGGACCUGAAACAUGGCCGGCGCGUGGGACGUGCAGGAGACAGUAAAUAGACACCUCCUCAUUGCCGGUCUAGCUGGGUGACCUUGCAACAAGCUGUUCUUCUGCUGAGGAAACAUGUCUCCAUCCGCACAAUGAAAGGAUCA
rnacentral:lncRNA from 1 species